rnacentral:rRNA from 1 species
UGGGGAAUAUUGCACAAUGGGCGCAAGCCUGAUGCAGCCAUGCCGCGUGUGUGAAGAAGGCCUUCGGGUUGUAAAGCACUUUCAGCGAGGAGGAAGGGUAGUGUGUUAAUAGCACAUUGCAUUGACGUUACUCGCAGAAGAAGCACCGGCUAACUCCGUGCCAGCAGCCGCGGUAAUACGGAGGGUGCAAGCGUUAAUCGGAAUUACUGGGCGUAAAGCGCACGCAGGCGGUUUGUUAGGUCAGAUGUGAAAUCCCCGCGCUUAACGUGGGAACUGCAUUUGAAACUGGCAAGCUAGAGUCUUGUAGAGGGGGGUAGAAUUCCAGGUGUAGCGGUGAAAUGCGUAGAGAUCUGGAGGAAUACCGGUGGCGAAGGCGGCCCCCUGGACAAAGACUGACGCUCAGGUGCGAAAGCGUGGGGAGCAAACA